GUUGAGUCUAGAUUAGAGCAGUAUUACUAUGAAGUAAGUUCAGUGAGUAUCUCUGAAAGCUCCUUCAAAAAGAUUGUGAAAGAUAUUUUUUAAUGGAUCACAGAAGGGAAUUGAGAAGCAUCUCCUGGCACGUGGGGUGGGGGUGUAAUGGCAGCAUGAUGUCUUUUGGGCAGGCCUUACACCUGGCCCAGUUCUCUACAAGGUCUGGGAUGAGUAGUGGAGCCUCAUGAAGACUCAGACUCAGGCAGUAGUCAAGUCUGUUUGCAUAUGCCCAAGUGUUGUGGUUUAGAUGUGGUGUCCCCCAAAACUCAUGUGUGAGACAAUGCAAGAAGAUUUGGAGGAGAAAUGAUUGGGUCAUAGCAUUGACCUAAUCAAUGAAUUAAGCCCUGGUGGGAUUAACUGAAUGGUAACUGGAGGCAGGUGGGAUGUGGCUGCAGGAAGUGGUUCAUUGGGAGUGUGGCAAUGGGCUGUAUAUUUUGUAUCUAGAGAGUGGAGACUCUCUCUGCUUUCUGAUCAUCAUGUCAGCUGCUUCCCUCCUCCACACUCUUCUGUCAUGAUGUUCAGCCUCACCUCGAGCCCUGAGGAAUGGAGCCAGCCUUCUAUGGACUAAGACUUCUGAAACUGUAAGCCCCUAAAUAAACCUUUCCUCCUUUACAGUUGUUCUGGUGGGGGCCUUUAGUCACAGCACUGAAAAAGCUAACUAAAACACCAAGGUUGGGCAGCAAUUUCUUUUAAUGCACAAAUUACCUAUUACCUACUUGUCAACGAUCACUAUGCAUUUCUAG
rnacentral:lncRNA from 1 species